rnacentral:tRNA from 1 species
GCAGGGGUAACCAAGCGGCCAACGGUGCUGGGCUUAGGACCCAGUCUCUUAGUGAGUUCGAGGGUUCAAAUCCCUUCCCCUGCA